UACGAAGGGGGCUAGCGUUGUUCGGAAUUACUGGGCGUAAAGCGCACGUAGGCGGGUUGUUAAGUCAGGGGUGAAAUCCUGGAGCUCAACUCCAGAACUGCCUUUGAUACUGGAAAGCUUGAGUCCGGGAGAGGUGAGUGGAACUCCGAGUGUAGAGGUGAAAUUCGUAGAUAUUCGGAAGAACACCAGUGGCGAAGGCGGCUCACUGGCCCGGUACUGACGCUGAGGUGCGAAAGCGUGGGGAGCAAACAGG
rnacentral:rRNA from 1 species